AUCUCAUUUUUUUCCCUUUCAUUUCUCCACUGCUCUCUUUUCUCCGACGAAAUCGGGACAUCAGGGGUGAGAGAUACCGAUGUUUGUGGUUCAGAGCAAAUCUAGCGAUGAAAUCGGGAAAGUGAGAGAUACCGACGAUGCGAUCUCGCUACUGGAAAAUCAACUGGUGACAUCUUCUUCACAGCUUCUCAUGGUCCUCUCACCUUGAUUCAGGGAGCUGUCUCCAAAGGAGCUGUUUGCCUGGAUGGAACAUUACCUGGUUAUCAUCUACACCGCGGUUCUGGAUAAGGGGCUAACCGCUGGCUCAUCCAACUUGAGGGUGGAGGAUGGUGCAACACACGUAGGAGCUGUAUCUUCCGGAAAACCACUGGGCGUGGUUCAUCAAAUUAUAUGGAGAAAGUUUUGGCAUUCACUGGAAUUUUGAGUGAUAAGACUGAUGAGAAUCCUGAUUAAUCCAGAAUUAUAUAUCAUGAGCUAAACAUUUGCUUGCAGUGACUCGGAGUAUCUUUUCCUCAGUUUCGUUUUUUUUUUCUUUUUAUGGACAUUUUGCAGAUUUCUUCAACUGGAACAGAGUUAAAUUGCGUUACUGUGAUGGUGCUUCUUUCACAGGCGAUAGUGCAGUGUGGACGAGUAUAGAGACGUCAAAUUAUCUCAUGGUUGAAGCCACGAUAGGUGAUUCAAGGGAAGUAGACGAAGAGGCAAAGGAGUGGGAGCACAAGCUCUUGCAAAAUAGUAUGGACAAAGAGUUGCAUGAACUGAACUGCCGUCUAGAGGAAAAAGAGGUCUUUUUUGCUUGUUUACUUUUUAUGCACUGAAAUUUCUUAGGGGGUUGAGAUUUGUUCUUGUCCAUAACUACAUAGUCCUUGUAUGAAACAGUCUGAAAUGAAGCUACAUACUUUUCAUUAAGUUUGUUUCCAAGAAUUUUUU